GACAAACCACCCAAACGUUAUUCGGAAUUACUGGGCUUAAAGGGUGCGUAGGCUGCGCUGUAAGUCGGGUGUGAAAUCCCUCAGCUUAACUGAGGAAUUGCGCCCGAUACUGUAGUGCUCGAGGGAGAUAGGGGUCAGCGGAACUGAUGGUGGAGCGGUGAAAUGUGCUGAUAUCAUCAGGAACACCGGUGGCGAAAGCGGCUGACUGGAUCUCUUCUGACGCUGAGGCACGAAAGCUAGGGGAGCGAACGGG
rnacentral:rRNA from 1 species